rnacentral:rRNA from 1 species
UACGAAGGGUGCAAGCGUUACUCGGAAUUACUGGGCGUAAAGCGUGCGUAGGUGGUUUUUUAAGUCCGUUGUGAAAGCCCUGGGCUCAACCUGGGAAUGGCAGUGGAUACUGGAAAGCUAGAGUGCGGUAGAGGGUAGUGGAAUUCCCGGUGUAGCAGUGAAAUGCGUAGAGAUCGGGAGGAACACCAGUGGCGAAGGCGGCUACCUGGACCAGCACUGACACUGAGGCACGAAAGCGUGGGGAGCAAGCAGG